GUCAAGUCAAGACAUCUCGUCGCGAAUAAAUUUACAGAAAAAACAGUGAAAAACAUCAUUUUUAGGAAUUUAAAUGAGCUUGUGACACUCAAACGCCCCAAAAAUAGAGAUUCGAAACAAUCAAGGCCAAGUUUUUGUGCGAAUUGAGAGAAAACGAUGCGUGGUUUCAUGCGAGUGCUUUGCCAAAACCUCACCAAAAAUGUCCAAAGAAGUAGAAGCUUUCACCAAAACCAGGGAGGCGGUCAAAAAUCAAAAAGUAUCGCGGGCCUGCAGGCGGCAAUCGACCUCCAGCACAGCGCCAUGAGCGAGCAAUGCAUCUUGGUUGACGAGCACGACCGGAAUUUGGGUCAGAUUUCUAAAAGGGAGUGUCAUCGCGUCAUUGACGGACAAAUUCCGUUGCAUCGUGCCUUCAGCGUGUUCCUUUUCAAUGCGCGCGGCGACAUGUUGCUGCAAAAACGCAGCAGCUACAAGAUCACGUACCCGAAUCACUACACGAACGCCUGUUGCUCGCAUCCGUUGUACGAAAUCGAGGGCGAACGCGAAGAACGCGAUGCCUUGGGGAUUCGGCGGGCCGCUCAGCGACGCUUGAAUCACGAACUGGGCAUUCCGUUGCAUCAAAUCCGGCCCGAGAACAUGCAUUAUUUGACGCGGAUUCAUUACAAGGACUUGGGCGAUGGCGUUUGGGGCGAACACGAAAUCGAUUAUAUCCUGUUUCUGCAGAAAGAUGUGGACCUGAAUCCGAACAAAAAUGAAAUUAGUGACAUUCGGUUUGUGAGUCGCGAAAAUUACAAGAAGGAAAUUGACGCGUUGCCGGGCGAAUUGACGCCCUGGUUCAAAUUAAUACUCAAACAUCGUCUUCCCGUUUGGUGGAGCGAUUUGUCGAAACUCAAACUGCACGAAGAUUUGGACACAAUUUAUAAGUUUUCAUAGAACAAAAUAUUUUUUGUACGAAAUUCAUAAAUUUUCAAAGAAAAAAUAUUUUUUAAAUUUUUUAAAAAAAAUUUCAUAGACAUUUUUUAUAAGAAACUAUCGAUCAAAAAAACUAAAACAAAAAAACGGAGGAGCUUUAAAGAAUCAAAUACUAACUUAUUCUACGGGUUGUGGGAC